rnacentral:rRNA from 1 species
UUUUAUGAGAGUUUGAUCCUGGCUCAGGACGAACGCUGGCGGCGUGCCUAAUACAUGCAAGUCGUACGCUUCUUUUUCCACCGGAGCUUGCUCCACCGGAAAAAGAAGAGUGGCGAACGGGUGAGUAACACGUGGGUAACCUGCCCAUCAGAAGGGGAUAACACUUGGAAACAGGUGCUAAUACCGUAUAACAAUCGAAACCGCAUGGUUUUGAUUUGAAAGGCGCUUUCGGGUGUCGCUGAUGGAUGGACCCGCGGUGCAUUAGCUAGUUGGUGAGGUAACGGCUCACCAAGGCCACGAUGCAUAGCCGACCUGAGAGGGUGAUCGGCCACAUUGGGACUGAGACACGGCCCAAACUCCUACGGGAGGCAGCAGUAGGGAAUCUUCGGCAAUGGACGAAAGUCUGACCGAGCAACGCCGCGUGAGUGAAGAAGGUUUUCGGAUCGUAAAACUCUGUUGUUAGAGAAGAACAAGGAUGAGAGUAACUGUUCAUCCCUUGACGGUAUCUAACCAGAAAGCCACGGCUAACUACGUGCCAGCAGCCGCGGUAAUACGUAGGUGGCAAGCGUUGUCCGGAUUUAUUGGGCGUAAAGCGAGCGCAGGCGGUUUCUUAAGUCUGAUGUGAAAGCCCCCGGCUCAACCGGGGAGGGUCAUUGGAAACUGGGAGACUUGAGUGCAGAAGAGGAGAGUGGAAUUCCAUGUGUAGCGGUGAAAUGCGUAGAUAUAUGGAGGAACACCAGUGGCGAAGGCGGCUCUCUGGUCUGUAACUGACGCUGAGGCUCGAAAGCGUGGGGAGCAAACAGGAUUAGAUACCCUGGUAGUCCACGCCGUAAACGAUGAGUGCUAAGUGUUGGAGGGUUUCCGCCCUUCAGUGCUGCAGCUAACGCAUUAAGCACUCCGCCUGGGGAGUACGACCGCAAGGUUGAAACUCAAAGGAAUUGACGGGGGCCCGCACAAGCGGUGGAGCAUGUGGUUUAAUUCGAAGCAACGCGAAGAACCUUACCAGGUCUUGACAUCCUUUGACCACUCUAGAGAUAGAGCUUCCCCUUCGGGGGCAAAGUGACAGGUGGUGCAUGGUUGUCGUCAGCUCGUGUCGUGAGAUGUUGGGUUAAGUCCCGCAACGAGCGCAACCCUUAUUGUUAGUUGCCAUCAUUUAGUUGGGCACUCUAGCAAGACUGCCGGUGACAAACCGGAGGAAGGUGGGGAUGACGUCAAAUCAUCAUGCCCCUUAUGACCUGGGCUACACACGUGCUACAAUGGGAAGUACAACGAGU